rnacentral:tRNA from 1 species
AAGUUAGUAGUUUAAAUUUAAAAAUACACGCCUUCUAAGCAUGAGAUGUAUUUAUCUUAACUUA